UUGAUGGUGUUAUGCACAUCAGAUUUUGUA
rnacentral:piRNA from 1 species